rnacentral:tRNA from 1 species
CAUUAAGAUACUUAAAAGCAAGUAAUGAUCUCUUAAAUCAAAUUAUGGCAAAGUAGCGUAUGCCCUUAAUGA